CUGUGCCAUACAAGAGCCUGUGCUCACCGGCCCUGCUGCCUGGCUCUCCCCUGCUCAGGCCCCCAACCUGGGGUAUGUGCUGCGGGCAUCCCAGGCUCUCUCCCUCCUCCGGGGCCCAGCCAGAAGCAGAUUUCUGGAGGCUGUAGAAUCUCUCCCUGUACAAGAACCAAAAGGACCUGGAUGGAUUGUAGCUCCAGAACUGAAAAGAGUUCUAGAACAGCUUGAGCUACGCAUGGAGGAGUCAGAGUUUGAGAAGUUGUGGAAGAGGUUUGACAUUGAUGCACUUGGAGCUGUGAAACUCAAGGUUUUACUUAAGAAACUUGGGCUUUGCAAAAGAAAGAGGCUGGACACCCUUGAUAAUAAAAUUCAGAAGAUCACAAUACCACCCCAAAAUGAAGAUUUGAAAAG
rnacentral:lncRNA from 1 species